rnacentral:lncRNA from 1 species
UUUCCUUUAUAUAGACCAAUGCUACCUUCGUAACGAAGAUCAAGUAUAUUGUCUUAAAGAAGAGGUGAUGUGGUAUCUCCAUGUUGACCCAAUAAAUAUCUAGACUAACAAAUAUCUCUAGUCUUGGUCAAUGGGUCUUCAUUCAAUGGUGUCUAUUCGUAGAGCGCUCUAAAAUGUGGUCGUCUAUAGAGCACAUGGGGAGGUUGUCGUUUGUAGAGCACUUGGGGGGGGGGUCAUUUGUAAAGCACUUGGAGAGGUGAUCGUCUGUAAAGCACCUACAAGGUGGUCGUCUGUAGAGCACCUACGAGGUGGUUGUCUAUAGAGCACCUGGAGAGGUGGUCGUCUGUAGAGCACAUAGGGAGGUGGACAAGGUGUAAUAUGCCAAAACUAAAACUUGGUGACUUAUUUUUGCAAAUUUUGGGCCAUGAUUUUCUGGGGAUAUGACACGUGGCACCUUGGGUGGCAAGUAUGGCCGGAACACCUAUUGCCCCUGGAGCGUAGUCUGAUAUCCUUAGUCCGACAGGCUAGACUUAAGGCCUAUUAAAGAUAUUACUUGUCUCCCAAGUAAGGAAACCCUAAUUCAAGUCAAAUAAGAAUAUAAUGAGGAUUAGGCAACUAAAUCAUAAUCAAAGGAGAAUUGGAUAUCUCCUAGAUAAUCUCCCGAUUUAAUGGAGAUUACUUCCCUACAAAGACUCUCAAGAUCUAGAAAAACUCUAGCUGGGUAUUUAUCAGGGAACUCGACUCUGGAUUCUCUAAUCAAUCAUAGUAGAAGAUACAUCUCUUUUACAUUCUCCUUAAGCCUGAUAUAGGAUCAUCCUGCAUACAUGCCACCAUCUACACGUACACACGUCCAUGGAGAACUCAUCUCCUAAAACGCCCUGUCAUAGGCUAUUCGUCAAGAAUGGUUCACGAUGUUUUGCACAUCACACCAUUGUUUCUUAGAACUAAACAUGUGUUUUAAUUCUCCUUCUUAGAGAUAAGUAGGCAAUCCAAUCUGGAUUCAACCACACACCCCCACCCAUCAACCCCAUUCUUUCCUUAUUGGAAAGGAUGGACAAUUCUAAUGAAUUUGGCCUCUGUUUAUAGAUAUAGACAAAUUUGAUUCCAACACAAAUGAUGUUAAAAUGUUACAAUGUAAAAGGUAUUUAACAUUUUUUAAAAGAAAACUUUUUGAAUCACUUGCGUUUCUAGAAUAAUCUUAUUUGGGAAGAAAAAAAAAAAGCAAUUGAUUAUUGCUUUUAAUCUUCUGCUCCGUACAAACAAGGGGGCUUUAGUCUUUUUAGACUAGCAUAACAUGUCCCCUCUUCUUUCAAUCUUUCUCUUCC